UACGUAGGGGGCAAGCGUUGUCCGGAAUCAUUGGGCGUAAAGCGCGUGUAGGCGGCCCGAUAAGUCCGCUGUGAAAGUCCAGGGCUCAACCCUGGGAUGCCGGUGGAUACUGUCGGGCUCGAGUCCGGAAGAGGCGAGUGGAAUUCCUGGUGUAGCGGUGAAAUGACGCAGAUAUCAGGAGGAACACCAAUGGCGAAGGCAGCUCGCUGGGACGUGACUGACGCUGAGACGCGAAAGCGUGGGGAGCAAACAGG
rnacentral:rRNA from 1 species